UAGGGAAUCUUCGGCAAUGGGGGCAACCCUGACCGAGCAACGCCGCGUGAGUGAAGAAGGUUUUCGGAUCGUAAAGCUCUGUUGUAAGAGAAGAACGUGUGUGAGAGUGGAAAGUUCACACAGUGACGGUAACUUACCAGAAAGGGACGGCUAACUACGUGCCAGCAGCCGCGGUAAUACGUAGGUCACGAGCGUUGUCCGGAUUUAUUGGGCGUAAAGCGAGCGCAGGCGGUUUAAUAAGUCUGAAGUUAAAGGCAGUGGCUUAACCAUUGUUCGCUUUGGAAACUGUUAAACUUGAGUGCAGAAGGGGAGAGUGGAAUUCCAUGUGUAGCGGUGAAAUGCGUAGAUAUAUGGAGGAACACCGGUGGCGAAAGCGGCUCUCUGGUCUGUAACUGACGCUGAGGCUCGAAAGCGUGGGGAGCAAACAGG
rnacentral:rRNA from 1 species